UCCGUAGGUGAACCUGCGGAAGGAUCAUUAUGAAUUUGAACUUGUGCUGUUUCAUUCACUUGAACGCGCAAUUCUUUUUCUGUGAACUGGAAGUCAAAGCAGUGUGUGUCUCUCUUUAUUGAGGCGCACACACUGGUUGAUUUUGCCUUUUGUUUUCUUGUUUUAUAUUCCACUACAUUUUGUUUUUUUUAAAGUAGUUUACUCUGUUUUUUUUCAGAGUAGGCGAAAAAGAGAACAAAAUAAAAAACCAAGACAACUUUCAGCAAUGGAUCUCUUGGCUCUUGCAUCGAUGAAGAACGCAGCGAAAUGCGAUACGUAAUGUGAAUUGCAGAUUCGUGACUCAUCGAAAUUUUGAACGCAUAUUGCACUUGAUGGUAUUCCGUCAAGUAUGCUUGUUUGAGUGUCUGUGCAUUUCUCUUUCACCAAUUCCUAUUGUUGUUAAUUCAAAAUCAAAACAGCGGAGAAAGACCCAGUUUUGAUGAAUUGGCAAUAACAGUAGUGAGUUUGAUGAAGACAUUGAUCCUUGUUCUCUUCAUUCGUGGAAAGAGCAUUGAUUUAAAUGCAAGUGUGACCAUAAUUGGACCUCGAGUUCCAAUAAGCAAUGGUGCCAAUUCACGUUGAUGGAAACGUGCAUGUCCGCUUGGACGUGUGCUUUCUUUAAUUCGAGUUGGAUUUUCCAGGCUUUUAUUGGAUCUCAAUCGUGUACAAUUAGAAAUCACAAGGAAGCUAUAUAAUGUAGCUUCUUGCAACCCCACAAAUGUGCCAAUUUGGACCUCAAAUCAAGCAAGGCUACCCGCUGAACUUAAGCAUAUUAAUAAGCGGAGGAAAAGAAACUAACAAGGAUUCCCCGAGUAAUGGCGAACGAAACGGGAAUAGCCCAAAUUUGAAAUCUCUGGCGUAAGUCAGCGAGUUGUAAUUUGGAAAGAAAGUUAUCCUUGUUCUUUUACUUUUGCAAAAGUCCACUGGAAUGUGGCGGCACUUUUGUGCUCUUUGGGUCAUAGAGGGUGAAAAUCCCGUUUUGCAAAGGUAGAGGGACUGUUGUGUUACUUUCUUUAAGAGUCGGAUUGUUUGGGAAUGCAAUCCAAAAUGGGUGGUAAAUUCCAUCUAAGACUAAAUAUAAGCAAGAGACCGAUAGCGAACAAGUACCGUGAGGGAAAGAUGAAAAGAACUCUGAAGAGAGAGUUCAAUAGUACGUGAAAUUGCUGAAAGGGAAACGCUUGAAGU
rnacentral:rRNA from 1 species